rnacentral:lncRNA from 1 species
UGACAACGACAAGGACUACUGAAAUGGAAGUUGAUCAUAAUAAGGGUCCAUGGAGCAUCUUCUUUCUGAUGCCAGCUUAACAAAGAUUCACCCCAGGGAGUUAACGUCUCGAACAGAGCAUCCGCUUGGGCAGAGCCAGGGAAUGAAACUCAAACCUUUCCAUCUGGCUGCUUGUUGGCAGCCCUUGGCAAAGUCCUGGUGGGAGAAGGGACUGGAGCAGCUGAUUGAAGGGAGGGCUAUGGUUAUCAGUGAAUUCCUGUCCCUCCCCUAUUGCCACACUUAGCUACAAGCGAUUUUGGUGAGUCAUAGAAUAAAAGACCUCCAGAG